CGCUGGCGGCGUGCCUAACACAUGCAAGUCGAACGGAACUUCUUUAAUUGACUUCUUCGGAAUGAUUUUGAUUAAGUUUAGUGGCGGACGGGUGAGUAACGCGUGAGUAACCUGCCUCUAAGGGGGGAAUAACAUUCUGAAAAGAAUGCUAAUACCGCAUAACAUAUAUUUAUCGCAUGGUAGAUAUAUCAAAGAUUUAUCGCUUAGAGAUGGACUCGCGUCCGAUUAGUUAGUUGGUGAGGUAACGGCUCACCAAGACCGCGAUCGGUAGCCGGACUGAGAGGUUGAACGGCCACAUUGGGACUGAGACACGGCCCAGACUCCUACGGGAGGCAGCAGUGGGGGAUAUUGCGCAAUGGGGGAAACCCUGACGCAGCAACGCCGCGUGAAGGAUGAAGGUCUUCGGAUUGUAAACUUCUUUUAUUAAGGACGAAGAAAGUGACGGUACUUAAUGAAUAAGCUCCGGCUAACUACGUGCCAGCAGCCGCGGUAAUACGUAGGGAGCAAGCGUUGUCCGGAUUUACUGGGUGUAAAGGGUGCGUAGGCGGCUUUGCAAGUUAGAUGUGAAAUCUAUGGGCUCAACCCAUAGCCUGCAUUUGAAACUGCAGAGCUUGAGUGAAGUAGAGGCAGGCGGAAUUCCCCGUGUAGCGGUGAAAUGCGUAGAGAUGGGGAGGAACACCAGUGGCGAAGGCGGCCUGCUGGGCUUUAACUGACGCUGAGGCACGAAAGCGUGGGUAGCAAACAGGAUUAGAUACCCUGGUAGUCCACGCUGUAAACGAUGAUUACUAGGUGUGGGGGGUCCGACCCCUUCCGU
rnacentral:rRNA from 1 species